rnacentral:rRNA from 1 species
AGAGUUUGAUCCUGGCUCAGGAUGAACGCUAGCUACAGGCUUAACACAUGCAAGUCGAGGGGAAACGACAUCGAAAGCUUGCUUUUGAUGGGCGUCGACCGGCGCACGGGUGAGUAACGCGUAUCCAACCUGCCCACCACUUGGGGAUAACCUUGCGAAAGUAAGACUAAUACCCAAUGACGUCUCUAGAAGGCAUCUGAAAGAGAUUAAAGAUUUAUCGGUGAUGGAUGGGGAUGCGUCUGAUUAGCUUGUUGGCGGGGUAACGGCCCACCAAGGCUACGAUCAGUAGGGGUUCUGAGAGGAAGGUCCCCCACAUUGGAACUGAGACACGGUCCAAACUCCUACGGGAGGCAGCAGUGAGGAAUAUUGGUCAAUGGACGAGAGUCUGAACCAGCCAAGUAGCGUGCAGGAUGACGGCCCUAUGGGUUGUAAACUGCUUUUAUAAGGGAAUAAAGUGAGUCUCGUGAGACUUUUUGCAUGUACCUUAUGAAUAAGGACCGGCUAAUUCCGUGCCAGCAGCCGCGGUAAUACGGAAGGUCCGGGCGUUAUCCGGAUUUAUUGGGUUUAAAGGGAGCGUAGGCCGGAGAUUAAGCGUGUUGUGAAAUGUAGAUGCUCAACAUCUGCACUGCAGCGCGAACUGGUUUCCUUGAGUACGCACAAAGUGGGCGGAAUUCGUGGUGUAGCGGUGAAAUGCUUAGAUAUCACGAAGAACUCCGAUUGCGAAGGCAGCUCACUGGAGCGCAACUGACGCUGAAGCUCGAAAGUGCGGGUAUCGAACAGGAUUAGAUACCCUGGUAGUCCGCACGGUAAACGAUGGAUGCCCGCUGUUGGUCUGAAUAGGUCAGCGGCCAAGCGAAAGCAUUAAGCAUCCCACCUGGGGAGUACGCCGGCAACGGU